GAUGAAGAACGCAGCGAAAUGCGAUACGUAGUGUGAAUUGCAGAAUUCAGUGAAUCAUCGAAUCUUUGAACGCACAUUGCACCUCUCGGUAUUCCGGGAGGUAUGCCUGUUCGAGCGUCAUUUGUACCCUCAAGCUCUGCUUGGUGUUGGGUGUUUGUUCCGCCUCUGUGUGUGAACUCGCCUCAAAACAAUUGGCAGCCGGCGUACUUGUUUCGGAGCGCAGCACAUUUUGCGAUCCAGAUCAACGUACAGCGGCAUCCAAGAAGCCUUAUUUAACGCUCUUGACCUCGCAUCAGGUAGGGAUACCCGCUGAACUUAAGCAUAUCAAUAAGCGGAGGA
rnacentral:misc_RNA from 1 species